rnacentral:rRNA from 1 species
UGGCGGCCUUAGCGCGGUGGUCCCACCUGACCCCAUGCCGAACUCAGAAGUGAAACGCCGUAGCGCCGAUGGUAGUGUGGGGUCUCCCCAUG